CUUGUCUUCCCACACACCUGUUUUCAAUCCCAUUCAUUACCUGUUGUGUAUUUAACCCUCUGUUUCCCCUCAUGUCUUUGUCAGAGAUGGUUUUAUUGUCAGUAUAGUGUGAUUGUUGCAUAGGUGCGCGUCGGGUCCUCGUACCCAUGUUUGGUUUGUUUGUUCAUUUAUUGUUAUGGAGCAUACUCGUGAAUCUUUAUUAAAAGACUCCAUUUUACACUCAGUUUGACUCUCAUGCGCCUGACUUCCCUGUCACCUAUAAAAGAUACCUGUCCACAACCUCAAACAGUCACACUCCAAACUCCACUAUGGCCAAGACCAAAGAGCUGUCAAAGGACACCAGAAACAAAAUUGUAGACCUGCACCAGGCUGGGAAGACUGAAUCUGCAAUAGAUGCAGCACCAGUCCCAGCACCAGACCACCAGACGAGGCGCAGAGGAGAGACCAAAGAUCACACCUUCACCCUAGAGCUAGCAUGCCACAGGGAAGUACCACUAUUGACCUCUGGGCCUAAGUCUCCCUUGUGAUUCUGCUUGCUCCUCAGGUUGUCUUUCUUCCCCUCUACAGAUCCCAGCCCAACAACAGUUCCCGGCUCUUGGUUCCCAGUUCCUGCUCUCUCCCAGGCCCACAGUCCCAGCACCAGACCCAGCACCAAACGCUGGUUUUCCAGCCCUGGUCCCAACACAAUUUCCAACCCGGCCCCAACACCAACCCAGGUUUUCCCGGUCCCAGCCCCAACACCAGCACCAACCCUGGACAAAACACCGACCAGACACAACUGCCAUCUUCAUCCAGCAAAUGCCAGCUCAGACCGCCCACUUAACACAGUGACAUACACUCCACCAACCACUCCACCAGACCAACCAUGACUGACUGACCGACUGAUUGACAAAUUGACACUGAUGAUUAUUACGUUAUUUGAACAACUGCAUUUGGUUAUUUAUUUUUAUUUAUUUAUUUUGGUAAUUGUUUGUUGAUUUUUGAUUUUAUUAACUUAAGUUGGAUUAAUCAUUUAUUGUUUUAAUUGUUUAUUAUUUUUGAAGAUUAACUAAAGUUUAUUUUAACAUUUGAACAUGUAUUGACUUGGAAUAACCAAAUAAACAUUCCUUAAAAUUAAACUAUGCCAAUACAAUACUUAUAGCAUAAGCCUUCACUUUGGUGGUCUAGUUUUACGCUAACACAGUGGUAUUAGAAAACUCCUGGCUUACAGGCCAAAUCAGGAUUGAAAGUCACAAUAUGAUGUUGCAAGCCACAAGUGAUGAGUAAUUCCUAUUGGAAUCCAGCAAGAGUGAGGAUUUCAAACAAUUUGAAUUUUUUGUCACCCGUAUCCUGCAUUCAGAAUGAAUGAGUCAGUGUUAGGAAAGGUGAACAGAAGACUACCGAAUAUAAUGUGAAAUAUAUAUUCACACACAUUGUGGACAUUUUAACAAGGAGCUGCCAUAAAGUAGUGGGGAGCCAUCCACCGAAGGCAACCAAUGUGAAAUAUGACUGAUUGGCGUGGUUUUGAUGGGACUGUUUUACUUUCCACGGGGUAAAAUAAUAACUCUGGUUAUUAACACCAACACUUUUACACCACUGAGGGUUAGUUUCACUCUUACAGGGUGAAUGUAACUCUUGAAUCGACACUAGACAUUUUACACUGAAAAAAAAACACUGGCCAAUUUGCUGUGCAGGAAAUAUUUCUGAAUAUUUAUAACUCAAUAACCAAACCAAUUAAACCACAUGUUUGUGUUGCUUUUAGUGAUGUUUUCUUUUGUCAUUUCGUGACAGAGAGCUGAGGUCAUUCAGAACAUCAUAUGUCAUGUGAGGUGUUUAUAAUGGAUGUUAUUAAGUAUUUAGUACCACUAGCCUGGGUUUUUCAAUUAUCUUUAUUCUUCUUUCAUAUUUGAUGUAGUUAUGUAUAAACAUGAUGAGGUUAUAACCCAUUAAUAUAUUAGCUUUUUCAAUUAUAUAAAAAUAUGUCUGCCUAUAUUAUGUCAAAGCAAACAUUGCCUGUUGAUGUGGUAGAGCUAUUUUUCUCCACUCUAAUUAUACCCCACAUAAAUGUUGAUUGGUUAACACA